rnacentral:rRNA from 1 species
UACGUAGGGGACAAGCGUUGUCCGGAUUUAUUGGGCGUAAAGAGCGUGUAGGCGGCCAGGUAGGUCUGCUGUGAAAACUCGAGGCUCAACCUCGAGAUGUCGGCGGAAACCAUCUGGCUAGAGUCCGGAAGAGGAGAAUGGAAUUCCCGGUGUAGCGGUGAAAUGCGCAGAUAUCGGGAAGAACACCCGUGGCGAAGGCGGUUCUCUGGGACGGUACUGACGCUGAGACGCGAAAGCGUGGGGAGCGAACAGG